AGAGUUUGAUCAUGGCUCAGAUUGAACGCUGGCGGCAUGCUUAAUACAUGCAAGUCGAACGGUAACAGAUUCUUCGGAAUGCUGACGAGUGGCGGACGGGUGAGUAAUACAUAGGAAUCUGCCCAUGUAGUGGGGGACAACUUGGGGAAACUCAAGCUAAUACCGCAUAAUUCCUACGGGAUAAAGAGGGCCACUGCUUGCAUGCUCUUGCUACUGGAUGAGCCUAUGUCGGAUUAGUUAGUUGGUAAGGUAAUGGCUUACCAAGACAGCGAUCCGUAGCUGGUUUGAGAGGAUGAUCAGCCACACUGGGACUGAGACACGGCCCAGACUCCUACGGGAGGCAGCAGUAGGGAGUAUUGGACAAUGGGCGCAAGCCUGAUCCAGCAAUGCCGCGUGUGUGAAGAAGGCCUGCGGGUUGUAAAGCACUUUCAAUUGGGAAGAAAGAUUAUGAGUUAAUACCUUAUAA
rnacentral:rRNA from 1 species